AUGGAAAAAAAUAUGGUGAUUUCUCCAAAGCUGGCAAUAAGCCAACAUUCACACUGGCAGAGAUCCUUAAAGGUCCAAUGACAUGCCACCAGGUGUGGUGUGAUUAGCUUUUAUAUGUGUGCCGGAUAGACUGAUCUAUCCAGCACCCAUUUAGGUGGACACGCCCACCUGUGAUGUCAUAAGGGGCAGAUUUGUAAGGGCCAAUCACACAACACCUGGUGGCAUGUCAUGGGACCUUUAAAGGCAGAACACAAAUUAUUAUCCAUCAAGAGACAUCUUCAGCUUCAUGGUCUGUAAGUCAAAACCACCUAGUUCUUUAUUAUUUUUUUAAGUACAAUCAUUGAUCUAAAAAGCGUUCAAAACAGCUUCCCAAACAAAAUUGCAUGUAGACUAAGGUAACAUGACACCAGGAUCACCAGUAUAGCCAUGUAGGCUAGGAGGGUAACAUGACACCAGGAUCACCAGUAUAGCCAUGUAUACCAGGGUAACAUGACACCAGGAUCACCAGUAUAGCCAUGUAUACCAGGGUAACAUGACGCCAGGAUCACCAGUAUAGCCAUGUAUACCAGGGUAACAUGACGCCAGGAUCACCAGUAUAGCCAUGUAUACUAGGGCUGGCCCGAAUGCCAUUUUUCAGGCUUCGAAUACUCGUUGGUUUUUCCGAGCGAAUAUUCGAAUACUCGUUCCAGAAAAAAACACCAUCAAAAACAACAUUAAUAAUCCCUAUAUACUCCCUGGAACCGAUUUUGACAGUAUCUGCAUAUUUUGUUGAAGAUUUAAUAGCUUUUGAACCUUAAUUAGUAGGCCUAAGUAGGUUGAAGUUCCUUAUAGUUUUCCCCCGUGAAAGCGAACAGCUGUUGCUCCGUUCCAAAUCAGUUGUUCUCUGCCAUCUCAGCCCUUACGGGAGCUUUUCAAUUCAUCCUGGAACGUGCAUCUUUUUAGGGAAUUUGUACAAUAAAUCCAUAACAAAUACCGAAUAUUGAUUGUCUUAUGUGUCCAUAUUAUAUCCAUUAUAUUGACCGGGUAUUCGCAAGACGCUCACGCUCUGCAGCAAGCCAGUCACAGUUGAUUGGCGCGGCGCUGUACAGCGAACGUAAACAAACUAACUAAACAAGUUAAGGUUUUAAGUAUUACUUUUCCUCCAGAGAUCCAGCUAAUGUUGUGUUAUAAAGUAAGGGAAACAAGAUAUCUAUUCUUCCUCCACCUCUCUCGCUUCUCUGCUUGGUGUCGCUAACGCUUAUAUUUCGCCUCCCUCGCUCUGGUAACGUCACGUAUGUGAAAAAAAACGAAGUUCCGAAUACUGAUUUAAGUAUUUCAGUAUUCGAAUAAUUCGGGCCAGCCCUAAUGUAUACCAGGGUAACAUGACACCAGGAUCACCAUUAUAGCUCUGUAUACCAGGGUAAUAUGACACCAGGAUGGCAGGAUCACUGUCUGCCCGGUCUGGAGGUUGUUUCCCUUUGACCGUCAGGUCAGUUUACCGGCUGUUGACAGAAGUGAGUGAUCAGACACGCUGAGGUCAAAGUGUGAGUACAUCGAGCGAAAACAAGAGCUUGGACACCGUGUGUUUGUGCCGUAGUAUCUCCUACAGUUGGUCCCUCACGCCUCCUGAAGUCCCCCAUGCCACGUCUCUGUGCUGCACUGUCUGCUCCUGGCCCGCUGAGGGGCCGAGCCAAUGGAGGAGCGUCAGCAGUAGAGUCUCAGGGGCCAACCCGCCCGCCACCCACACCCCAGUCACCCAUCAGAGCCCUGGUCCUGGGUCCUGGGGCAAGCCUGAGGCUCAGAGCCAGCAGGCAUGUCCCCAGGAGGUGCCCCAGGGUAGGCCUGCACGAUGAAUCGUUAUAAGAUCGUGUUCUCGAUUCAGACCUCUGUGGAUUCGAUUUUUAUAUUUUAUUUUAUUUUAUUUUUUAAAUAAUGUAAGCCUUAAUUUACAGGUGUGUAGAGUUGGUUCAGUAGUUAUAAAAGGCCAGCAAUUAAAGACAAUCUGCUGCUAUAUGUACAAAAUAAAUCAUUAAACCGUUUUUUGAUACUGCACUUUAAUCAAUAAAAUAAAGGGCCAUAUGAAACGCAACGUGCUA